rnacentral:misc_RNA from 1 species
CAACAGGGAUUGCCCUAGUAACGGCGAGUGAAGCGGCAACAGCUCAAAUUUGAAACUCUGGCUCUCGGGCCCGAGUUGUAAUUUGUAGAGGAUGCUUUUGGUGCGGUGCCUUCCGAGUUCCCUGGAACGGGACGCCAUAGAGGGUGAGAGCCCCGUCUGGUUGGAUGCCAAUCCUCUGUAAAGCUCCUUCGACGAGUCGAGUAGUUUGGGAAUGCUGCUCUAAAUGGGAGGUAUAUGUCUUCUAAAGCUAAAUACCGGCCAGAGACCGAUAGCGCACAAGUAGAGUGAUCGAAAGAUGAAAAGAACUUUGAAAAGAGAGUUAAAAAGUACGUGAAAUUGUUGAAAGGGAAGCGCUUGUGACCAGACUUGGGCUUGGUUGAUCAUCCAGGGUUCUCCCUGGUGCACUCUUCCGGCUCAGGCCAGCAUCAGUUUGCCUCGGGGGAUAAAGGCUUCGGGAAUGUGGCUCUCUCCGGGGAGUGUUA